rnacentral:rRNA from 1 species
AAGUGUACCUCAAGCAAAGCGAACUUUAGUUUGACGUCCCGAAACUACGUGAGCUACUCCAAGACAGCCUAAUUAAUAGGGCGUACCCGUCUCUGUAGCAAAAGAGUGGGGAGAGCUUUGAGUAGAGGUGACAAACCUACCGAACCUAGUUAUAGCUGGUUGUCCAAGAAAUGAAUAGAAGUUCAGCCUCUUAGCUUCUCUUUUCACACUAGCCUAACCCCUAUUGAUGCCUUAAAGAAACCAAGAGAGUUAGUCAAAGGGGGUACAGCCCCUUUGAAACAAGACACAACUUUAUUAGGAGGGUCAAGAUCAUAAUAACUAAAGCUAAGUGUUCUGGUGG